rnacentral:rRNA from 1 species
UUGCUUCUCUUGAGAGCGGCGGACGGGUGAGUAAUGCCUAGGAAUCUGCCUGGUAGUGGGGGAUAACGUUCGGAAACGGACGCUAAUACCGCAUACGUCCUACGGGAGAAAGCAGGGGACCUUCGGGCCUUGCGCUAUCGGAUGAGCCUAGGUCGGAUUAGCUAGUUGGUGAGGUAAUGGCUCACCAAGGCGACGAUCCGUAACUGGUCUGAGAGGAUGAUCAGUCACACUGGAACUGAGACACGGUCCAGACUCCUACGGGAGGCAGCAGUGGGGAAUAUUGGACAAUGGGCGAAAGCCUGAUCCAGCCAUGCCGCGUGUGUGAAGAAGGUCUUCGGAUUGUAAAGCACUUUAAGUUGGGAGGAAGGGUUGUAGAUUAAUACUCUGCAAUUUUGACGUUACCGACAGAAUAAGCACCGGCUAACUCUGUGCCAGCAGCCGCGGUAAUACAGAGGGUGCAAGCGUUAAUCGGAAUUACUGGGCGUAAAGCGCGCGUAGGUGGUUUGUUAAGUUGGAUGUGAAAUCCCCGGGCUCAACCUGGGAACUGCAUUC